rnacentral:rRNA from 1 species
UUCGGGGAGACAGGUGGUGCAUGGUUGUCGUCAGCUCGUGUCGUGAGAUGUUGGGUUAAGUCCCGCAACGAGCGCAACCCCUUAUUGCUAGUUACCAUCAUUAAGUUGGGGACUCUAGCGAGACUGCCAGUGAUAAACUGGAGGAAGGUGGGGAUGACGUCAAAUCAUCAUGCCCCUUAUGACCUGGGCUACAAACGUGAUACAAUGGCUGGAACAAAGGGAUGCGAAGCAGUGAUGUGGAGCGAAACCCAUAAAAACAGUCUCAGUUCGGAUUGAAGUCUGCAACUCGACUUCAUGAAGUCGGAAUCGCUAGUAAUCGCGGAUCAGAACGCCGCGGUGAAUACGUUCUCGGGGUUU